rnacentral:rRNA from 1 species
UUAACACAUGCAAGUCGAACGAUGAACCUCGCUUGCGGGGGGAUUAGUGGCGAACGGGUGAGUAACACGUGAGUAACCUGCCCUUAACUCUGGGAUAAGCCUUGGAAACGGGGUCUAAUACUGGAUAUUGACUUUUCCUCGCAUGGGGAUUGGUUGAAAGAUUUAUUGGUUUUGGAUGGACUCGCGGCCUAUCAGCUUGUUGGUGAGGUAAUGGCUCACCAAGGCGACGACGGGUAGCCGGCCUGAGAGGGUGACCGGCCACACUGGGACUGAGACACGGCCCAGACUCCUACGGGAGGCAGCAGUGGGGAAUAUUGCACAAUGGGCGAAAGCCUGAUGCAGCGACGCCGCGUGAGGGAUGACGGCCUUCGGGUUGUAAACCUCUUUCAGUAGGGAACAAGGCCAGUGUUUAGCUGGUUGAGGGUACUUGCAGAAGAAGCGCCGGCUAACUACGUGCCAGCAGCCGCGGUAAUACGUAGGGCGCAAGCGUUAUCCGGAAUUAUUGGGCGUAAAGAGCUCGUAGGCGGUUUGUCGCGUCUGCCGUGAAAGUCCGGGGCUCAACCCCGGAUCUGCGGUGGGUACGGGCAGACUAGAGUGAUGUAGGGGAGACUGGAAUUCCUGGUGUAGCGGUGAAAUGCGCAGAUAUCAGGAGGAACACCGAUGGCGAAGGCAGGUCUCUGGGCAUUAACUGACGCUGAGGAGCGAAAGCAUGGGGAGCGAACAGGAUUAGAUACCCUGGUAGUCCAUGCCGUAAACGUUGGGCACUAGGUGUGGGGGACAUUCCACGUUUUCCGCGCCGUAGCUACGCAUUAGUGCCCGCCUGGGGAGUACGCGCAGCUAAACUCAAGAUGACGGGGCCGCACAGCGGCGAGCAUGCGAUAUCGAUGCAUCGCGAGAUCUACUAGGCUGACAUGACUGAUCGCUGGAACAUGGCCGCUGCGUCGAUAAGGUGGGCAUGGUUGCGUCACGUCUGGUCCUGGAAUGUGUUAGUUCCCGAACGAGGCACU